GUCUAGGCUGGGAGCAGGAGCAGAGAGACUAGCCUUUGCAGAGGGAUGCAGGUGGGAACUCCACCCGGGUAGUCAGACAGACAGGAUGCUGUCCUCCUGCCCACCGUCUGGACUGCUCCUUCAAGUGCUGAUAAAGCCCCUGAUCCCUCUACGGGUUGGGGGACAACUCAUCUAAGCUGCGUUCUGCUGGGAGUAUCCAUGUGAGCAAAUCCUGCCUAUGCAGCUCCUUGGAGCACGUCACAUGAAGUGCUGUGUUUCAUCCUUGCCCGAAGCUCAGAGAGGAGUCCAAGAGCCAGGAAUGGGGCGGGCAGCAUGGUAGGCAGUGGGGUAGAUGGCCCCUGCUUCGUGGGACCACACCUAGACAGCAAUGGGGGGACAGAUGUUAGUUCCAACAUACCUGAAACGGCAGCAUUGGCCAAAGAUGGGAAGGAGGGGCCCAGGGCACAGAAACAGUGUGUCCUGGGCAGCGAGGCCUUCCUGUAGGAGAGGAUGUGAGCUGGAGUCCAUGGCAAGCACAGUAAGGCCUUCCCUGCAGGGAAAGGCUGGGAGGGCCUUGGUGCCCCUGUCUCCAACAGCAAACCCCUUGCUCUGCUCAGGGAGCCCAACCGGCCUGUUGUGGGGGGAGCAGGCUGGUAGUGUCCCUGGCACUCACCCGGUUGGUCCCACCUCCUCGUCUCAGGAGGUCAGUGACUUCCUGACCUCAACCUCUCCCAGCAGCGGUCCUGGUGGUGUGAGCAUGGCCUGGGCUGGGUGCACGAGGAACCGGCGGCUGGCUUGGGUUCUCUGGACAGACAGCCAUCCUGGAGUAUGGCCACAUGGAGGCUCUGCACAGCGCCCUGCAGACCCUGCUGGUGCUCGUGGGCUUCAUCUGUGCCUGCCACAUGGUCAGUGUGAUCACCAAGGAGGAGGACAGCUGUAAGUGUGUGACCACUAGCCUCCUGCAGAAUCCCAUUACUAACCUGCCAGCUCUGCCAGGCAGUGAAGGAGGAGAAGAGAGGCUACAGGCUGGCCACGGAGACCUGAGAGCUGGCCUCUUAAAGGAGUCCCUGAGCCCUGAAGGUUCUGGCCUACGCAGAGAUGGGAAGGUCCAGAGAUGAGGGCAACAGGGGUCAGCACACCCCAAGCCCUCCUGGUCUGAGGGUUUCUGUGCUGCCGGGCUGGCCCUG
ensembl:lncRNA